ACUAACAUUUAAUCUUUAGGAAGAUGGCGCAUGCAGCACACUCGCGUGGAGCUGGUGGCAGUAAAGUUUGCUCAUGUACAAAGCCUGAGAGCUUUAAAACGGUUGAUGGCAAACUGAUAGUGGAAGACAAAUUUGUAAACUUUGUUGUCACUAAAAUGAGGACACUCAGCCAGGAUGAAAUCGUAAUGCUGGCCUCCACUAAUUUUCCGUCUGAGUGGAUUGAGGAGUCAAAGAAGCUACUCUUUGAAGUUUUUCCGAAAACGACUCAAUGAUGUGUUUUGCACUAGGGUCCUCAGAAGGAUAUUAACAAUGUCAAAGCGUGCCUAAAGGUUCUUAACGAGUGUGGGGAAGAUAUCCCAAGAUUUGUAUCGUUUAUCUGGAUGAGCUUCCACCUGUUACAUUCAGCAGCAUUGAUGUAUCAGCACUCCUUGGCAGGAUUGAACAGCUAAAUAAGGAAGUGUCCGGCAUGAAAAAGAU